rnacentral:rRNA from 1 species
GACGAACGCUGGCGGCGUGCCUAACACAUGCAAGUAGAACGAGUUGCGAACGGGUGAGUAACGCGUAGGAAAUUGCCUCAUAGCGGGGGUAAAUUAUUGGAAACGGUAGUUAAUACCGCAAACCUUCAGUUUGGCCCAGAUGGGAUUAGCUAGUAGGUGGGGAAACGGCCCACCGAGGCGACGACCCCUAGCUGGUCUGAGAGGAUGACCAGCCACACUGGAACUGAGACACGGUCCAGACUCCUACGGGAGGCAGCAGUGGGGAAUAUUGCACAAUGGGCGAAAGCCUGAUGCAGCCAUGCCGCGUGUAUGAAGAAGGCCUUCGGGUUGUAAAGUACUUUCAGCGGGGAGGCGUUACCCGCAGAAGAAGCACCGGCUAACUCCGUGCCAGCAGCCGCGGUAAUAC